GCUUUAGGAAUCAAAUACCUCUUACUUUUCAGAAGCUUUAAGCAAGGGCACUUUUGUAAGAGAUUUUGGUACACAUACUGAGAUAAUUGAUUUGGAAGGCUCAGAUAUUAAAGCUGACAUGGAGCCUCGCCUUGUUCAGUGGCAAGGCAAGUUGGAUGAGCUACAUGUCUUUUUCAAGAAGUUGUGCAAGUCACGCAAAAAGUCACUAUUCACUAUCCACUAUUGUUUUUCUUGCGUUAGAUCUGCUUUUUUCGAUUCGAUUGCACCUUGACUAUUUUUGUACCGCUACUCCUCUUGCGUUAUAUUUAUUUAAAUGAGCAAUUUUUAAAAGACAGAAAAUGUCCUUCUUUCAAUAACGUGGCGGAAUAAAACAAUUACACAAAGAUGUUACUAUGAUACUUUUUGGUACGAAAUAUUUUAUUUUUGACCAGCACUGUUAUGCCUAAUUUUGUCCAUAAACGGACAAAAUUGCUCCGAUUUUGAGACGACAUUACAGCUUUUUGGCAGCGAUCGCCAAGAAACUGAAUGUGCCACGGAAUUACACCCAAUUAAGAAAGAUAUUUUCACCCUUCCAGCAGUCAUUAGAAAGCCGUUUUGUCCCCUCAAAAUCGGAUGUAGUUCACACGUUAAGGGUAAUAAACUGAUAAAAAAUGAUUUACAAUUAUCCUGUUGUCAAUAGGUUCUUAUUCACGUAAGCUGGGUCAUAAACUAUUUCUUGCGGCAGAAUCAUGGGGAAGAAGUUGUCCUUCAUUUUAAAAUCGCUGAAAUUGUAGUAACUAAACCUUGAAUGAAACUAUUGUAGGAAGAUUCAUUACUUGACGAGGGAAUUCCGCAUUUAAUUGCACGCGAAAAGCGAUACGCGAAGCGAUGAGUGCGAUAUCGGUUUUUAAGUGCAAUUUAACGCGGAAUUCACGAGCCAAGUAAUGGAUUUUCCUUGAAUCACAUAUUUGAAUAAAAACAAGAUAAAAAGAAAA